GGAGCCUGUUGUACCUGGGGUACCCGAAGCUGUCUGCAGGGGUUUUCUGCUCGCUCACCGUACUUUUCUGGCACCUUUCGUGACUUUCCUGGUUAAUUAAGCUCUGCAACGCACACAGAUUGAAAAUGUGACUUCACAAAACUCCAACAACAUAUGUUGUGUUGCUUCUAUCGCCGCAAGCAUGUGACAGAGUUUAUUUGGUGCUUCCCCACGGGCUGCCUGCUCUGCUCUUUCCUCCAGGAACCCUCCCAGCACUGCCAAAUCUGAGCUUCUUGCACCGGGGAUCCCCCUGCCCCCAUAACGUUGAAUAAAUGUUCUUGUGUACAAACACAAGAUGAUGCAUUGGGCUGCGCAUGGAAAUUCUGGGAAGCCCUGGGGAAAUGCUGAUGUUAAAGCUUGUAACUCUGCUCUUCCAUCUGCAGGUUGGCAGGUCACAGGGGGGAAGCUUUCCUGUCCUUAAACCUGAAGGAUAUCAUUGACUGAAGUACAUCCCACUGAAGGCCUGGUGAUUCAGUCACUUUGCUCACACAGGCUUUACUCUGAAGAGCAGAGAUGAUGGCUGUAUCCCACCUGUCUGUGCAUGCCAUGAAGUGGGGCUGCUACCAUGAACGACUGCACAGCAGCAAGUGUAACACUGAUCCUGAGCUUGGGAUGGGACACAUCACCGUGGCUGAAGUUCACUUCCUCACAUUGAGCAGCAGCAGUUCCCACUUCUCUCUGGACGCUGACAGCUCAGCACUAGGCUCUGGCCUUCUUCCUUCUGAAGCUGUGAAGGGCUUGGAUGAGCUAUUUGGUAAUAGCUGACCCAGGACCCAAGCCUUGCUGGCUUCCCGACUGUCCAGCCCCACUUGCAGAGCUCAGUUCUGUACCAGGUAAGAAAAUGAAGGGGCUAACCACGUUCUGCAUGGCAAACCAAAGCGUUUAGGGAAGGCAGGCACCUGAUCCUCCCACUGCUACUACUAUGGAAACAUGUCAGAGAAGAGAACCUGUUGCCAUGAUACUGUAAAAAUAACCUGGUGUCAGCCACUGUGGAGACGCUGAGUGGCUGCUCUACAUGGGCUGUGUGAGUGGCUCCAACACAGGGACCUGGCACCGUGCAUGCAGGGAGGUGGCUCUCUGACAGCUUCAGGUGAUAAGUCCAUGUGAGUUUUAACCUGUGUACGUGACACUUAAAGCUGAAGUGGGCAGCCUCGGUUUGUGCAGAUGUGG